GACGAACGCUGGCGGCGUGCCUAAUACAUGCAAGUCGAGCGGAGUUUCAAGAAGCUUGCUUUUUGAAMSUUAGCGGCGGACGGGUGAGUAACACGUGGGCAACCUGCCCCUUAGACUGGGAUAACUCCGGGAAACCGGAGCUAAUACCGGAUAAUCCCUUUYUCCACCUGGAGAGAGGGUGAAAGAUGGCUUCGGCUAUCACUAGGGGAUGGGCCCGCGGCGCAUUAGCUAGUUGGUAAGGUAACGGCUUACCAAGGCAACGAUGCGUAGCCGACCUGAGAGGGUGAUCGGCCACACUGGGACUGAGACACGGCCCAGACUCCUACGGGAGGCAGCAGUAGGGAAUCUUCCGCAAUGGACGAAAGUCUGACGGAGCAACGCCGCGUGAGUGAGGAAGGCCUUCGGGUCGUAAAGCUCUGUUGUGAGGGAAGAAG
rnacentral:rRNA from 1 species